rnacentral:rRNA from 1 species
AUUGUGACCCUGAUCUCCAGCGCUUUCUCCAACGACCGGAAGAACCUCCCUCGGGCGCUCAUCUCCUGUGGCGUCCUCAAGGCCGCGGCGGCGCUCUGCCUCCUCCUGUUCAAGGCGCCCGGGGGCAUCUUCCUCCACCAUGGCAGGGGGCUUCUCUACCUCUACUUUGCCGUGCUCAUUGCCGUGGUGAUCUUCGGGAUUGUGGAGGCGCUGGUCGGCGUCUGGGUGUCCGGCGAGCUGGACGAGAGGCACGCCGUCGGGAAGACGGUCCUUUGGUCGUCCAUCCUCCCUCUUGUCUUCGUGGCUGCUCUUGGGGGCUUCAGCUUUCGGUAG